CCUGAAGCUCAGACAGCACAACAUCAGCAGAGAUCUCAGAGUUGUGAUGGACAUUUUCUGCUCUUCAGCUCAACACAAGCUGGGAUGUAGAAAUGAAAUAACACAGAGAGAAAACCAUUGGAGCAUCAGAAACCAGAUAGGAAGAAACAACAAACAUGGAGGCCAGAAAUGAGACACAAAGCAGAGAAACACAAGAGAAAAACAGAUGGACACUUUUCAGAUGUGACAGUAUGAAGAUAAUAAAACCAGAAUUCUCACAUGAUCCAGACGGACCUGUAAACUUUCCUUCUGAUGAAACUUCAUCAUGUUCUGAAGAGCACACAACGUCCCUGAGACAGCAGCAGCGGCUGAAGAAAACACCAUCAUGAUCCCAGACUCUAUCGACCCACACUACAGUCUGAUCACAUCCUCAGAGACGGA